UACGUAGGGUGCGAGCGUUGUUCGGAAUCACUGGGCGUAAAGGGCGUGUAGGCGGUCUGUUAAGUCUGAUGUGAAAGCCCGGGGCUCACCCCCGGAAGUGCAUUGGAUACUGGCGGACUCGAGUCCCGGAGAGGAGGGUGGAAUUCCUGGUGUAGCGGUGAAAUGCGUAGAUAUCAGGAGGAACACCGGUGGCGAAGGCGGCCCUCUGGACGGUGACUGACGCUGAGACGCGAAAGCGUGGGGAGCAAACAGG
rnacentral:rRNA from 1 species